rnacentral:rRNA from 1 species
AUUGAACGCUGGCGGCAGGCCUAACACAUGCAAGUCGAACGAGUGGCGGACGGGUGAGUAAUGUCUGGGAAACUGCGUGAUGGAGGGGGAUAACUACUGGAAACGGUAGCUAAUACCGCAUACCAUCAGAUGUGCCGAGAUGGGAUUAGCUAGUUGGUGGGGUAACGGCUCACCAAGGCGACGAUCCCUAGCUGGUCUGAGAGGAUGACCAGCCACACUGGGACUGAGACACGGUCCAGACUCCUACGGGAGGCAGCAGUGGGGAAUAUUGGACAAUGGGCGCAAGCCUGAUCGAGCCAUGCCGCGUGUGUGAAGAAGGCCUUCGGGUUGUAAAGUACUUUCAGCGGGGAAGCGUUACCCGCAGAAAAAGCCCCGGCUAACUCCGUGCCAGCAGCCGCGGUAAUUC